CCUACGGGUGACAGCAGUAGGGAAUAUUGCUCAAUGGGGGAAACCCUGAAGCAGCAACGCCGCGUGGAGGAUGAAGGUUUUCGGAUUGUAAACUCCUUUUGUUAGAGAAGAUAAUGACGGUAUCUAACGAAUAAGCACCGGCGAACACCGGGCCAGCAGCCGCGGUAAUACGGAGGGUGCAAGCGUUACUCGGAAUCACUGGGCGUAACGAGCGCGUAGGCGGGAUAGCAAGUCAGAUGUGAAAUCCUAUGGCUUAACCAUAGAACUGCAUUUGAAACUGUUAUUCUAGAGUAUGGGAGAGGUAGGUGGAAUUCUUGGUGUAGGGGUAAAAUCCGUAGAGAUCAAGAGGAAUACUCAUUGCGAAGGCGACCUGCUAGAACAUAACUGACGCUGAUGCGCGAAAGCGUGGGUAGCAAACAGGAUUAGAUACCCCAGUAGUC
rnacentral:rRNA from 1 species